CCUACGGGAGGCAGCAGUGGGGAAUAUUGGGCAAUGGGCGCAAGCCUGACCCAGCAACGCCGCGUGAAGGAAGAAGGCUUUCGGGUUGUAAACUUCUUUUAAGGGGGAAGAGCAGAAGACGGUACCCCUUGAAUAAGCCACGGCUAACUACGUGCCAGCAGCCGCGGUAAUACGUAGGUGGCAAGCGUUGUCCGGAUUUACUGGGUGUAAAGGGCGUGCAGCCGGAGAGACAAGUCGAAUGUGAAAUCCACGGGCUCAACCCGUGAACUGCAUUUGAAACUGUUUCCCUUGAGUGUCGGAGAGGUAAUCGGAAUUCCUUGUGUAGCGGUGAAAUGCGUAGAUAUAAGGAAGAACACCAGUGGCGAAGGCGGAUUACUGGACGAUAACUGACGGUGAGGCGCGAAAGCGUGGGGAGCAAACAGGAUUAGAUACCCUUGUAGUC
rnacentral:rRNA from 1 species